rnacentral:rRNA from 1 species
UACGUAGGCAGCGAGCGUUGUUCGGAAUGACUGGGCGUAAAGAGUGUGUAGGCGGUGCUCCCAGUCUGUUGUGAAAUCUCCCGGCUUAACUGGGAGGGUGCAGCGGAAACUAGAGUGCUAGAGGGUGGGAGAGGUAAGCGGAAUUCCUGGUGUAGCGGUGAAAUGCGUAGAUAUCAGGAGGAACACCUGUGGUGUAGACAGCUUACUGGACCACUUCUGACGCUGAGACACGAAAGCGUGGGUAGCAAACAGG